GACCUGGUGGUGAAAUGUAUCACGCCUGCUUUGCCUGCCAUGACUGAAAGAGAGAUAUUUGCAGGGGUCCCCGGUUCGAGUCCAGGCCAGGUCA